rnacentral:lncRNA from 1 species
UUCAACUUUCCUAUCAGAUAGAGGGAUUUUACUAGGGCUAAGGGGAGACUGAGAGGGACCUUGAGCUGACACAGAAGCUGGAAUGGGAGCAGUGGAGGACUGAGCAGCUUGCCUUUUUCUGCGGACAUUUUCUUCUAGCUCACGGAUCGAUUUUCUUCUCUGAGGGAGCUUCAUCUUUGGAGCCAUUCUCACCACAGCAGCAGGCAGAG